rnacentral:rRNA from 1 species
AGUGAACGCUGGCGGCGUGCUUAGCACAUGCAAGUCGAACGAGAACGGAAUAUAGCUUGCUAUAUUUGUCAGCUAAGUGGCGCACGGGUGAGUAAUGUAUAGAUAACCUGCCCUUAAGAAAGGAAUAACAGUUGGAAACGACUGCUAAUGCCCUAUAUGCCUUUAAUACAUAAGUAUGCAAGGGAAACGCUUUAGUGCUUAAGGAUGGGUCUGUAUGGUAUCAGCUUGUUGGUGAGGUAAUGGCUCACCAAGGCUAUGACGCCUAACUGGCUUGAGAGGAUGAUCAGUCACACUGGAACUGAGACACGGUCCAGACUCCUACGGGAGGCAGCAGUGGGGAAUAUUGCACAAUGGACGAAAGUCUGAUGCAGCAACGCCGCGUGGAGGAUGACACAUUUCGGUGCGUAAACUCCUUUUAUAUAGGAAGAUAAUGACGGUACUAUAUGAAUAAGCACCGGCUAACUCCGUGCCAGCAGCCGCGGUAA